GCUUGUCUCAAAGAUUAAGCCAUGCAUGUCUAAGUACAAGCCUCAGUAAGGUGAAACCGCGAAUGGCUCAUUAAAUCACACCUAAUCUACUGGAAAGUUACUAGUUACUUGGAUAACUGAGGUAAUUCUUGAGCUAAUACAUGCGAAAAAUCUCGACUCACGGAGAGAUGCUUUUAUUAGAUCAAAACCAAUGGGAGGCGGCCGUCAAAAAGCCGCCACCGUCCUUGAUGGUGACUCUGAAUAACUUUGGCUGAUCGCACGGCUUUAACGCCGGCGACGCAUCUUUCAAAUGUCUGCCUUAUCAACUUUCGAUGGUAGGUUAUGCGCCUACCAUGGUUGCAACGGGUAACGGGGAAUCGGGGUUCGAUUCCGGAGAGGGAGCCUGAGAAACGGCUACCACAUCCAAGGAAGGCAGCAGG
rnacentral:rRNA from 1 species